GUGCUGGCUUCAGCAGCACAUAUACUAAAAUUGGAACAAUACAGAGAAGAUUAACAUGGCCCCUGCACAAGGAUGACAUGCAAAUUUGUGAAGCAUUCCAUAUUUGA
rnacentral:snRNA from 1 species